rnacentral:rRNA from 1 species
UAAUACAGAGGUCUCAAGCGUUGUUCGGAUUCAUUGGGCGUAAAGGGUGCGUAGGUGGCGAGGCAAGUCAGAUGUGAAAUCCCGGGGCUCAACCCCGGAACUGCAUUUGAAACUGCCUUGCUCGAGUACUGGAGAGGAGACUGGAAUUUACGGUGUAGCAGUGAAAUGCGUAGAUAUCGUAAGGAAGACCAGUGGCGAAGGCGAGUCUCUGGACAGUUACUGACACUGAGGCACGAAGGCCAGGGGAGCAAACGGGAUUAGAUACCCCGGUAGUCCUGGCAGUAAACGGUGCGCGUUUGGUGUGGGAGGAUUCGACCCCUUCCGUGCCGGAGCUAACGCGUUAAACGCGCCGCCUGGGGAGUACGGUCGCAAGAUUA